AACGCACAUUGCGCCCAUCAGUAUUCUGUUGGGCAUGCCUGUUCGAGCGUCAUUUCCACCCUCAAGCCCUGGCUGCUUGGUGUUGGGGUGUUCUGCAGCGUGCUGCAGGCCCUGAAAAUCAGUGGCGGUCUCGCCGGGACCCCGAGCGCAGUAGAUCUCUCUCGCUCAGGGGGUGACCAGCGGGUUUCUAGCCGUUAAAGCCUGCAAAGCUUCUAAAGUUGACCUCGGAUCAGGUAGGAAUACCCGCUGAACUUAA
rnacentral:misc_RNA from 1 species